rnacentral:rRNA from 1 species
AUUGAACGCUGGCGGCAGGCCUAACACAUGCAAGUCGAGCGGAUGAAGGGAGCUUGCUCCUGGAUUCAGCGGCGGACGGGUGAGUAAUGCCUAGGAAUCUGCCUGGUAGUGGGGGAUAACGUCCGGAAACGGGCGCUAAUACCGCAUACGUCCUGAGGGAGAAAGUGGGGGAUCUUCGGACUUCACGCUAUCAGAUGAGCCUAGGUCGGAUUAGCUAGUUGGUGGGGUAAAGGCCUACCAAGGCGACGAUCCGUAACUGGUCUGAGAGGAUGAUCAGUCACACUGGGACUGAGACACGGUCCAGACUCCUACGGGAGGGCGCAGUGGGGAAUUUUGGACAAUGGGCGAAAGCCUGAUCCAGCCAUGCCGCGUGGUGGAAGAAGGUCUUCGGGUUGUAAAGCACUUUUAGUUGGGAGGAAGGGCAGUAAGUUAAUACCUUGCUGUUUUGACGUUACCAACAGAAUAAGCACCGGCUAACUUCGUG